CGCUCUGGCAGACGACGAAAACAAGCGGGCACUAGCUCCGGGACGAGAGGAGGUCGCAGGGGCGAAAACGGCACACUGUCCUGAUGACACCGAAAAUCCCGAGCCUGCACGCUGUGUUAGGGAAAGGGCCUAUACCGAAAGGUGCGGAGUUUCUCGAGCCACGACAAAAAAUCGUCUAAGAUAACGAAAAAUUGAAUCUUUGGACCGCGUUGUUAGCCUAUAACUGCUGGCAGGUUAACACCGCAGGCCAAAAAGGCCAUCCACGACGCACGCAACGAGUUUUUGACGUGGCUAAGGAUAGUCCCCACAAAGAGGUGGAGGUAGACGACCGUUCACUUGACGCGGUGGGUCGUAACGAACGGGGGAAUCAGGACGUUGUGCGAUUUUUCGGACUGUAAGAGAAAGUGGAUGACGGGACUAGACCUCCGCGUUAGUUGGUACCUCUGGCUGAGAGGGCGUGCGUGAAGGUGAGGGACUCGGUCCUUGGUUAUGAUUUAGCCUUAAUGACCCGCAUUUCGCGUGCGUCCGCCAGACAGUUCAGCCUACACUUUAGGGGCCCGAGUUGGACCCUUGACGUAAGCUUUGACCGUCCGAUCUCAGAACAUCUCCCCCCAUCUUAAGGUCCACAUCGCCACUUUACGCAUCUCUAGACCUCCUUAUGGCCACCGCUUCCGCCGGGGGACCUGUUUCUGACUGCGAGUCCACGCUUUCGCACCCCUCGUUUGUCCUAAUCUAUGGGACCAUCAGGUGCGGCAUUAAACGAUGUCGAUUUGGAGGUUGUGCCCUUGAGGCGUGGCUUCCGGAGCUAACGCGUUAAAUCGACCGCCUGGGGAGUACGGCCGCAAGGUUAAAACUCAAAUGAAUUGACGGGGGCCCGCACAAGCGGUGGAGCAUGUGGUUUAAUUCGAUGCAACGCGAAGAACCUUACCUGGUCUUGACAUCCACAGAACUUUCCAGAGAUGGAUUGGUGCCUUCGGGAACUGUGAGACAGGUGCUGCAUGGCUGUCGUCAGCUCGUGUUGUGAAAUGUUGGGUUAAGUCCCGCAACGAGCGCAACCCUUAUCCUUUGUUGCCAGCGGUUAGGCCGGGAACUCAAAGGAGACUGCCAGUGAUAAACUGGAGGAAGGUGGGGAUGACGUCAAGUCAUCAUGGCCCUUACGACCAGGGCUACACACGUGCUACAAUGGCGCAUACAAAGAGAAGCGACCUCGCGAGAGCAAGCGGACCUCAUAAAGUGCGUCGUAGUCCGGAUUGGAGUCUGCAACUCGACUCCAUGAAGUCGGAAUCGCUAGUAAUCGUAGAUCAGAAUGCUACGGUGAAUACGUUCCCGGGCCUUGUACACACCGCCCGUCACACCAUGGGAGUGGGUUGCAAAAGAAGUAGGUAGCUUAACCUUCGG
rnacentral:rRNA from 1 species